UGGGGAAUAUUGCGCAAUGGGGGGAACCCUGACGCAGCCAUGCCGCGUGAAUGAAGAAGGCCUUAGGAUUGUAAAGUUCUUUCGGUAUUGAGGAAGGUUGAUGUGUUAAUAGCACAUCAAAUUGACGUUAAAUACAGAAGAAGCACCGGCUAACUCCGUGCCAGCAGCCGCGGUAAUACGGAGGGUGCGAGCGUUAAUCGGAAUAACUGGGCGUAAAGGGCACGCAGGCGGUUAUUUAAGUGAGGUGUGAAAGCCCCGGGCUUAACCUGGGAAUUGCAUUUCAGACUGGGUAACUAGAGUACUUUAGGGAGGGGUAGAAUUCCACGUGUAGCGGUGAAAUGCGUAGAGAUGUGGAGGAAUACCGAAGGCGAAGGCAGCCCCUUGGGAAUGUACUGACGCUCAUGUGCGAAAGCGUGGGGAGCAAACAGGAUUAGAUACCCUGGUAGUCCACGCUGUAAACGCUGUCGAUUUGGGGGUUGGGGUUUAACUCUGGCGCCCGUAGCUAACGUGAUAAAUCGACCGCCUGGGGAGUACGGCCGCAAGGUUA
rnacentral:rRNA from 1 species